rnacentral:rRNA from 1 species
AGAUUGAACGCUGGCGGCAUGCCUUACACAUGCAAGUCGAACGGCAGCACGGGAGCAAUCCUGGUGGCGAGUGGCGAACGGGUGAGUAAUACAUCGGAACGUGCCCAAUCGUGGGGGAUAACGCAGCGAAAGCUGUGCUAAUACCGCAUAAGAUCUACGGAUGAAAGCAGGGGAUCGCAAGACCUUGCGCGAAUGGAGCGGCCGAUGGCAGAUUAGGUAGUUGGUGAGGUAAAGGCUCACCAAGCCUUCGAUCUGUAGCUGGUCUGAGAGGACGACCAGCCACACUGGGACUGAGACACGGCCCAGACCUCCUACGGGAGGCAGCAGUGGGGAAUUUUGGACAAGUGGGCGAAAGCCUGAUCCAGCCAUGCCGCGUGCAGGAUGAAGGCCGUUCGGUGUAACGUGUCGUUUU